rnacentral:rRNA from 1 species
UGAGUAAUCUGUCCUUCACUCUGGGAUAACUCCGGGAAGCCGGGCUAAUACUGGAUAUGACUCGAACGA